UACGACCAUAUCACGUUGAAAACCCGGUUCAUGUACGAUCGCCGAAGUUAAGCAACGUUAAGUCUGGUCAGUACGUAGAUGGGUGACCGCUUGGGAAUACCAGUUGA